GUGUUAACUUAUCCUUCUUCGGCACGUUUAACACAUGCAAGUCGAGCGGAAACGAGUUAUCUGAACCUUCGGGGAACGAUAACGGCGUCGAGCGGCGGACGGGUGAGUAAUGCCUGGGAAAUUGCCCUGAUGUGGGGGAUAACCAUUGGAAACGAUGGCUAAUACCGCAUAAUAGCUUCGGCUCAAAGAGGGGGACCUUCGGGCCUCUCGCGUCAGGAUAUGCCCAGGUGGGAUUAGCUAGUUGGUGAGGUAAGGGCUCACCAAGGCGACGAUCCCUAGCUGGUCUGAGAGGAUGAUCAGCCACACUGGAACUGAGACACGGUCCAGACUCCUACGGGAGGCAGCAGUGGGGAAUAUUGCACAAUGGGCGCAAGCCUGAUGCAGCCAUGCCGCGUGUAUGAAGAAGCCUUCGGGUUGUAAAGUACUUUCAGCAGUGAGGAAGGCGGGUACGUUAAUAGCGUGUUCAUUUGACGUUAGCUGCAGAAGAAGCACCGGCUAACUCCGUGCCAGCAGCCGCGGUAAUACCGAGGGUGCGAGCGUUAAUCGGAAUUACUGGGCGUAAAACGCAUGCAGGUGGUUUGUUAAAUCAAAAUGUGAAAACCCCGGGGCUUCAAACCUUCGGGAAUUUGCAUUUGAAACUUGGCAGACUAAAAUACUUGUAAAGGGGGGUAGAAUUUCAGGUGUACCGGUGGAAUGCGUAAAAAAUCUAAAGGAAUACCGGUGGCGAAGGCGGCCCCCUGGACAAAUACUUGACACUUAAAUGCCAAAACCU
rnacentral:rRNA from 1 species